AACUUAAGCAUAUCAAUAAGCGGAGGAAAAGAAGCUAACAAGGAUUCCCCUAGUAACUGCGAGUGAAGCGGGAAAAGCUCAAAUUUAAAAUCUGGCGGUCUCUGGCCGUCCGAGUUGUAAUCUAGAGAAGUAAUGCCCGUGCUGGACCGUGUAUAAGUCUCCUGGGAUGGAGCGUCAUAGAGGGUGAGAAUCCCGUCUUUGACACGGACUACCAGUGCAUUGUGGUAUGCUCUCAAAGAGUCGAGUUGUUUGGGAAUGCAGCUCAAAAUGGGUGGUAAAUUCCAUCUAAAGCUAAAUAUUGGCGAGAGACCGAUAGCGAACAAGUACCGUGAGGGAAAGAUGAAAAGAACUUUGGAAAGAGAGUUAAACAGUACGUGAAAUUGCUGAAAGGGAAACGCUUGAAGUCGGUCGCGUCGGCCAGGGAUCAGCCUUGCUUUUGCAUGGUGUACUUUCUGGUUGACGGGUCAGCAUCAAUUUUGACCGCUGGAAAAGGGCCUGGGGAAUGUGGCAGCUUCGGCUGUGUUAUAGCCCCUGGUCGCAUACAGUGGUUGGGAUUGAGGAACUCAGCACGCCGCAAGGCCGGGUUUCGACCACGUUCGUGCUUAGGAUGCUGGCAUA
rnacentral:rRNA from 1 species